GUUAAUGUGGCAGAGCCCGGUACUGCAAAAGGCCUAAGUCCUUUCAUACAGAGGUUCAAAUCCUCUCCUUAACU
rnacentral:tRNA from 1 species